rnacentral:lncRNA from 1 species
CUAAUCUUCAUCUUGCUUCUGUUUUCUAUUGUUUGAUCUUGAUCUUCCCUAUCUUUGGUCAACAUUUGUUGAUUAGUACAUACCAUUUCCAUUAAUGCACUUUAAUAUUCUUCAUCUUCUUCUUCUUCUUCUUUUCUUUUUUUGAUUAAUGAGUUAAAGAUUGGUGGUUAGCAUUGACACAUGGAGGUUUAAUCUUCCUUGAUUCAAAUCUAAUUCAUCUUGAUCAUGGAUCAAGUGAAUGGCUUUGCAUUAAGGAUAUAUUGCUUCCUAAAUCAUGCAAAGAACCUAAAUCAAUACAAGAUCAUUAAUCUUCCUUGAUUCAAAUCUAAUUCAUCUUGAUCAUGGAUCAAGUGAAUGGCUUUGCAUUAAGGAUAUAUUGCUUCCUAAAUCAUGCAAAGAACCUAAAUCAAUACAAGAUC